rnacentral:rRNA from 1 species
GUGGGGAAUAUUGGGCAAUGGGGGCAACCCUGACCCAGCAACGCCGCGUGAAGGAAGAAGGCUUUCGGGUUGUAAACUUCUUUGACCAGGGACGAAACAAAUGACGGUACCUGGAAAACAAGCCACGGCUAACUACGUGCCAGCAGUCGCGGUAAUACGUAGGUGGCGAGCGUUGUCCGGAUUUACUGGGUGUAAAGGGCGCGUAGGCGGGAUGGUAAGUCAGAUGUGAAAUCUGAGGGCUUAACCCUCAAACUGCAUUUGAAACUGCUGUUCUUGAGUGAUGGAGAGGCAGGCGGAAUUCCUAGUGUAGCGGUGAAAUGCGUAGAUAUUAGGAGGAACACCAGUGGCGAAGGCGGCCUGCUGGACAUUAACUGACGCUGAGGCGCGAAAGCGUGGGGAGCAAACAGGAUUAGAUACCCGAGUAGUCC